AGCACCGGCUAACUCCGUGCCAGCAGCCGCGGUAAUACGGAGGGUGCGAGCGUUAAUCGGAAUUACUGGGCGUAAAGCGCAUGCAGGUGGUUUGUUAAGUCAGAUGUGAAAGCCCGGGGCUCAACCUCGGAAUUGCAUUUGAAACUGGCAGACUAGAGUACUGUAGAGGGGGGUAGAAUUUCAGGUGUAGCGGUGAAAUGCGUAGAGAUCUGAAGGAAUACCGGUGGCGAAGGCGGCCCCCUGGACAGAUACUGACACUCAGAUGCGAAAGCGUGGGGAGCAAACAGGAUUAGAUACCCUGGUAGUCCACGCCGUAAACGAUGUCUACUUGGAGGUUGUGGCCUUGAGCCGUGGCUUUCGGAGCUAACGCGUUAAGUAGACCGCCUGGGGAGUACGGUCGCAAGAUUAAAACUCAAAUGAAUUGACGGGGGCCCGCACAAGCGGUGGAGCAUGUGGUUUAAUUCGAUGCAACGCGAAGAACCUUACCUACUCUUGACAUCCAGAGAACUUUCCAGAGAUGGAUUGGUGCCUUCGGGAACUCUGAGACAGGUGCUGCAUGGCUGUCGUCAGCUCGUGUUGUGAAAUGUUGGGUUAAGUCCCGCAACGAGCGCAACCCUUAUCCUUGUUUGCCAGCGAGUAAUGUCGGGAACUCCAGGGAGACUGCCGGUGAUAAACCGGAGGAAGGUGGGGACGACGUCAAGUCAUCAUGGCCCUUACGAGUAGGGCUACACACGUGCUACAAUGGCGCAUACAGAGGGCAGCCAACUUGCGAAAGUGAGCGAAUCCCAAAAAGUGCGUCGUAGUCCGGAUUGGAGUCUGCAACUCGACUCCAUGAAGUCGGAAUCGCUAGUAAUCGUGGAUCAGAAUGCCACGGUGAAUACGUUCCCGGGCCUUGUACACACCGCCCGUCACACCAUGGGAGUGGGCUGCAAAAGAAGUAGGUAGUUUAACCUUCGGGGGGACGCUUACCACUUUGUGGUUCAUGACUGGGGUGAAGUCGUAACAAGGUAGCGCUAGGGGAACCUGGCGCUGGAUCACCUCCUUA
rnacentral:rRNA from 1 species